UACGUAGGUGACAAGCGUUAUCCGGAUUUACUGGGUGUAAAGGGCGUGUAGGCGGUUUUGCAAGUCAGAUGUGAAAUUCCCAGGCUUAACCUGGGCGCUGCAUCUGAAACUGCAAGACUUGAGUACUGGAGAGGAUAGUGGAAUUCCUAGUGUAGCGGUAAAAUGCGCAGGUAUUAGGAGGAACACCGGUGGCGAAGGCGACUAUCUGGACAGUAACUGACGCUGAGGCGCGAAAGCGUGGGGAGCAAACAGG
rnacentral:rRNA from 1 species